rnacentral:rRNA from 2 species
UCAGGAUGAACGCUAGCUACAGGCUUAACACAUGCAAGUCGAGGGGCAGCAUGGUCUUAGCUUGCUAAGGCCGAUGGCGACCGGCGCACGGGUGAGUAACACGUAUCCAACCUGCCGUCUACUCUUGGACAGCCUUCUGAAAGGAAGAUUAAUACAAGAUGGCAUCAUGAGUCCGCAUGUUCACAUGAUUAAAGGUAUUCCGGUAGACGAUGGGGAUGCGUUCCAUUAGAUAGUAGGCGGGGUAACGGCCCACCUAGUCUUCGAUGGAUAGGGGUUCUGAGAGGAAGGUCCCCCACAUUGGAACUGAGACACGGUCCAAACUCCUACGGGAGGCAGCAGUGAGGAAUAUUGGUCAAUGGGCGAGAGCCUGAACCAGCCAAGUAGCGUGAAGGAUGACUGCCCUAUGGGUUGUAAACUUCUUUUAUAAAGGAAUAAAGUCGGGUAUGGAUACCCGUUUGCAUGUACUUUAUGAAUAAGGAUCGGCUAACUCCGUGCCAGCAGCCGCGGUAAUACGGAGGAUCCGAGCGUUAUCCGGAUUUAUUGGGUUUAAAGGGAGCGUAGAUGGAUGUUUAAGUCAGUUGUGAAAGUUUGCGGCUCAACCGUAAAAUUGCAGUUGAUACUGGAUAUCUUGAGUGCAGUUGAGGCAGGCGGAAUUCGUGGUGUAGCGGUGAAAUGCUUAGAUAUCACGAAGAACUCCGAUUGCGAAGGCAGCCUGCUAAGCUGCAACUGACAUUGAGGCUCGAAAGUGUGGGUAUCAACAGGAUA